rnacentral:rRNA from 1 species
CCUACGGGUGGCAGCAGUGGGGAAUAUUGCACAAUGGGGGAAACCCUGAUGCAGCGACGCCGCGUGAGUGAAGAAGUAUUUCGGUACGUAAAGCUCUAUCAGCAGGGAAGAAAAUGACGGUACCUGACUAAGAAGCCCCGGCUAACUACGUGCCAGCAGCCGCGGUAAUACGUAGGGGGCAAGCGUUAUCCGGAUUUACUGGGUGUAAAGGGAGCGUAGACGGCAGCGCAAGUCUGGAGUGAAAUCCCAUGGCUUAACCAUGGAACUGCUUUGGAAACUGUGCAGCUAGAGUGCAGGAGAGGUAAGCGGAAUUCCUAGUGUAGCGGUGAAAUGCGUAGAUAUUAGGAGGAACACCAGUGGCGAAGGCGGCUUACUGGACUGUAACUGACGUUGAGGCUCGAAAGCGUGGGGAGCAAACAGGAUUAGAGACCCCAGUAGUC